CUCAGUCAGGAGGUCAAUAUAAGUCACAAGGGCCAGACAAGGGCAAUUUUGACUCAAGACCCCACCCAGGCCUCUUGGCUUCAUGGACUGUGUAAGGUGGCUCAGAUUUCAGUUCAACAUAAAUGCUAUUCCAAUCAUUGUACACAGUUGAAAAUAGAAAGUCAACAUUGGCCCACACUUUCUCCUCCCUGAUAUUAGAGAUACUGCAGUACUCUCCUGUUACAAGUAUACAGAAAUUACUGCGGUUCACAAUCACUGGGCUAAAUUCACUGCUACCAGAAUUAGCAGAUCCAACAGGCAACUUAGGAUAUGUCUCCCUGUCGGGGGGCAACCCCCCCCUCUCGGGGGGUGCCGCCCACGUCCGGGGCAUAGUUUAGAGUUCUCGGGCCUAGAUCUUUAGUACGCUGCCCCUGUAUUAGGGGGAAUAUGGCCCACUGGCCUAGUCUCUCAGUAUACUGUCCCUGUAUUGGGGAAAUACGGCCUCCCGGCCUAGUCCUUUGUAUGCAGGCUUUGAGGCCUAGUCCUUCAGCCACGCCCCCUUCUCGCUGGGGUCCAGGGCAGGAGCAGUAGGGGGGCCCGGGCCCUCCCUCUCCACUGGGCCCUGACCCAGGGCCCUAUCAGUGGCAGUUUUGACAGGAUUUGCAGAAAAAUGAUUGCCGGCCUAUGCCAAGGAACAGACUGUGAUUAUCGGGUCUUUCCUCCUCUAAUUGCUGUGACUCUAUGAUCCUUUAGUGCUAGGAAGCAAUGGAAAUCUGAUGGUUGCCAAGCUAGAAGGGUGUGCAAAGGGCCAAUGCAAAGACAUACUUCAGCCUGUGGGGCCCAGUCCUCAUGCUGACCCUUCACACGGGGAUAUAUUUCACACCUUGCAAGAAGUAGUUCCAGUUGUUGAAUGGAGAGACAGAUUGUGACAGAUCUGUAGCUAUGACAAACGCAGUGAGAAAAUCUCGGUCAAUAGCUGAACUGGAGUGGUUCCCCACUACAAUGGCUGGAGAAGACUAUUUUUCAAAAGAUCCUAAAUUACAACCAGUUUAAUGUACUCCUAGUAGUCUUGAAAUCAUAUCUAAAGGACAUAAGAAGUGGAAAAGAGAAGAAGAAAUUGCUGCAGUAAUCUGACACAUAUCACUUAAAGAGGGAAAAGGCAAAAGGAAAAAAACACCCAGACCGAUUCCCAAGGUAAAGUGAUAGGAGUCUGUACUCACCGUGGUGUUCAGAUACCUGCUAAGUAAUAAAAAGAUCCAAACAAGCAACAAAGAGGCUCCUAAGAUUCAUACAAGUCAACUUUAUGACCCAGCAAGUAAAUCACUGAUGAAUGACCCUCACACGUUCAUUUUUCUGCAAGUAAAGACUCCAGACUAAAGAAGAAACCAUCACUGAUCUAUGCCUUACUACCAGGAAGGAACUAGUAGAAAACAUGAGGCUAGUAGGCAAGUUAUUUAUUAUGAGAUCUUUUGGAUUCAGCAAGAUGGAUCACAGAACAGCAGAAGAGCUUUGGACUUUAGGACAGCAAAUCUGGGGAGUUAAGAAAGGCGAAGAUGAAGUCCCGCUGGGAAGCCAACCCCACAGAUACAGACCAAAUGAAGCAAUGUAACUACCAGUUCCCUGAGGCACGACAAUAGUGUAGUCAAAUCAAAACCCUCUGGUUUGGGGAUUUUCAGUAUUUUGACCAAUAAACAGAUACAUGAAUCUAAAAACCUGUCAAUUAAAAAAAUAUGUCAAGGGAAAAUGUUUGACCAAUUCUAAUAAUUAAAUCUACAUGUGGGAUUCAGUGGUAUCUAGAAUUAUGAAAAACCUGAUUCAAAAAACAAUUAAAUACAGAUUGGAAAAAAACCCAACAAACCUUGAGGGGAAACAGUUGGAAAUGCAUUUCAUCAGUGAGCAGGGGAAAGAGACCCAUAGAUGACUAAGUGACUGCAAAUCUGACCUGCAUAAACAACACAGUAUGAGCCUUAAGGCCACUGCAUUUGGGACUGCAUAGUAAAAGGCCUACAUUCCUGAUGCAAAACAGUCUCUCUUGUCCUUUCUGCAAUGGAGUACAUGAUUCUUCCAUGCAGUACAGCCUAACAACUAUAUUUUACUUUUCCCUUGUACAAAUCUGUGUGAAUGUCAAUGAAUGUUAUUUUCUUACAUUUGUAAGUAUUUUAAGUAUUUGUAAACCAAUAAAAAUAGCAAUACAUUUGAAGAAAACAGUAUGGUUUCAGUACUGAUUACUUUAUCCACAAGACACUAAUAGAUGUGUUGGAUUUAACAUACCCAGUAUUUCCAUUUGCAUAAGCCAGUGGAACGGUACUGAAGUCAACUGUGAUAUCCCUGACAAUGAUGGUGCAUUUUGGCCCUAUAUUUUUUUACCAUUUGUAUAUUUGCUAACACAAGUGCUCACUCGUCAUUUUGCUUGUUCUAGAUCAGUGUUUCUCAACCUUUUU